rnacentral:lncRNA from 1 species
CUUGAACUGGCGCUUGACGCCUGACGCCUCGCCCUUGGAGGUUCGCCCUUCGCCGGAGCUUCACCUCUUCACACACAGCGCCAAAAUGAAUAAACAGCUGUCUACCACCACGGCGGCGGCGCUUGUAGGUGGCACCAGGGACGCAGGAUGAACAUGCUGCAUUUCUCAAGAUUCACCAGCGUUUACUCAUGCUAAGUAUGGUGGAGAAGGGACUCCUAGGGACCAGGGAUCAAACCCAAGGCCUUGCUCAUGUUAAGUACACAUUCUACUACUAAGCUACAUCCCCAACCCCUUGACAUAUAACUUGAAUGACUCUCAAUUUCCUCACCUCAUAAGAUGAAGAAAAUGAUACCUACUAUAUUAUACAAAGAUAACAUGAAUUAACCCAGUGAAAUGUCUAGAACAGUACCUGAUAGAGUACGUGGUAGGCACUUAAUAUUUAAGAAUGUUAGUUCUCCAAUACAAAUAUGAAUCUCAUACAUAUCCAUUAUGCCCAGUGGCAAUGAAACAAUUAUCAUUUUAGAGGAAAUAUGUCUUACUAGAAGAGAAGGAAAUGAGGACAGAAAUAAAAGGACAUGAAAUAAAAAUGUAAGAAAUGUCCAACAAAGGUUCCUAAAGACAUCUAUCUGCAAAGACACUUUCUUCUAAGAUCUGCAUCCUUGAGAGGACACCUAUCACAUCAGAAUUAGCUAGUAUGGAAAACAGUGAAAUAUAAGAAGUAUGUUAUAUAUCACAAAAAAUAUCUACAACAUAUGCAAAGGGUUUUGCUUUCUUGCUAUUCUUGUAAAGAAUUCUUUCAAAUAAGUAAGAUAUAAAAAUAGAAAAAGUUGGGCUGGGGGUGUAGCUCAGUGAUAGAGCACUAUCCUAGUAUGCACAAGAUGCUAGGUUCAAUCCCCAGCACCUAAAAAAAAAGUAGGAAAAUGGUCAAAGAAGAUGAACAGAGAAUUCAACAAUAAAAAAGGCCAAUAUAUGGAUUUCAAAAGUCCACCCACAUAAAUUAAAACUAGAAUAGAAGGCAAUUAUUUUUUGUUUAUAUAUUUGGCAAAGAUUAAAAUAAUGAUGUGUAUUUUUGGAUGUUGGACAAUAUUAUAAAAAGCUGAAGGAUAUGUAAAUUAUAAUAAUUUUUAGCAGUCUGUAUCUGAGACCCUAAAAUGCAUAUUUUUUCCCAGGGCCUUGUACAUGCCAGGCAAGCACCCUACCACCGAUGCAUACUGUUGGAACCUCUGAUGGGAAUUUAUUCUAAUAUUCAAAUAUUUUCUAAAAAUUUACAUGAGAGAGCAGGGAUUUAGCUCAGUGAUUUCGCCGCCUGCUGCGCAAGUGCAAGGACCCGAGUUCAAUCCCAGGUACCAAAAAAAAAAAAAAUUUGCAUGAGAAUUUCCAUUACAGGGUCAUUUAAAUGUAGUGAAAAAUUGCAC